rnacentral:rRNA from 1 species
UACGUAGGGUGCAAGCGUUGUCCGGAAUUAUUGGGCGUAAAGAGCUCGUAGGCGGUUUGUCGCGUCUGCUGUGAAAAACUCGGGGCUUAACUCCGGGCCUGCAGUGGGUACGGGCAGACUAGAGUGCGGUAGGGGAGACUGGAAUUCCUGGUGUAGCGGUGGAAUGCGCAGAUAUCAGGAGGAACACCGAUGGCGAAGGCAGCUCGCUGGGACGGUACUGAGCUGAGGCGCGAAAGCGUGGGGAGCGAACAGG